UUUAAAGUACCUCCUUCCCUGUGGAAUUUCUGCAAAUCAUUUACUCAAAUGCCAAGAUACCAUAGAAGCAGCUGUUUCUGAGAAAAUUUGUUCAGGCUUACAUAUUUGUUGUGAUGAAGAAUAUUGCAUUAAAGAAUCCUUUGCUGCUGCACUAGGAAGCAUGCUGUGCUCUACCCUGAAGAGAGGGUUAAACAAUGGUUCUGAGGGGCAGGUGCACCCCUUAGUCAAGAACUUUCAACCCUGGCUCAUGCAGUGACACAGUUUGCAAACCUGCUGGCUAAUUCUCCAAAACAAUUUGAUAGUGCUCCUUCAAUAUUAAAUAGAACACGAGGAUGGCUGCUGAUGAAAGAUAACAACAGCUGAAGGAGGCAGUGCAAAUGGAAGUCAACUACCAUCUUCAGCAGAUUAAGACUUCCUUGAAUAGUAUGCAAGAAAAUUAUGAAGAUUCCUUCAAAGCAUGAUUUCCGUGGUGACUGCAGAAGCAGGACAGUGCCUGUGGGACAUGGAUUUAGAAACUCCAAAGUGGGUCUCUUCAUCUUCCUGAUAUAUGGGGUGUACAACACAGAGCACUGAAGGGGGCACGGGCCCUUAGAGAGAUGCGGAAAGCGAAAAGCAUCUCCUGAUGAUUGUCCAACACCCGAAGCUGCUUCAGAACACGGAUUUUCCAUCCCAUUUCUGUCUCAGCAACGAGCUAUUUGCGGACUCGCACCCGCAGCGUCCCGGUGGCAGCGG
rnacentral:lncRNA from 1 species